rnacentral:rRNA from 1 species
GUCAGCAGCCAUACCGCCUGUAGUUCAGACUAUAUAAUCCAUCUGAAGCUAAGCAGGUUUGGGCUGGGCUAGUACUUGGAUGGGAGACCAGCUAGGAAAGCUGAGUUGCUGCUGGAU